GUGCCGAGUGGGUGCGCAAUCUCUCUGCGCCUGCGAGCCGUCCCUGCAUCCCGCGCGCAAUGGGCGUUACUAACGGACAACUCCUGCCUCUGGGAGCUCAGAUACAGGGAUGCUUCGGGAAUUGUGGACCCUCUUGCCCGUUAUUGCCUAAUCCCCUCGGACCCAGGCCCUGGAGAUGGUGAAGGGACCGGGAUGUGAAUCUAGGUAGCUGCAGCUGCGGUUCUAGCUAAGGACAGCGCGAAACGUGUUGGAGAAUGUGUUUCCAGCUCACCUCAGUUCAAAACAAAACAAAACAAAAAACAACAACAAAAAACCAAAACCAAAAGAAAAAAAAAAAAAAAAAAACCUAUCCGGAACGGACGCACAGACAGAUUCGCUGACUUGACAGCCGAGUAAUAUCGAUCUGAAAGAAAAAAAAAAAAAAGACAAUUGGUGCACGUUAAUUUGAACCAAAUCUCCUGGGAGCCAAGACUAAAGGAUCAGAGCUCACCAAAGGAGAUCACAACCCGGGGUACGAGUUCCUGAGAACCUGCUGUAAAUCUGCCAGCGUAUUUAAUGUCACUUGGAACCUGCAAGUUAGGUAACAUCCAGAUCUCCUUCCCAAAUGAAGGAUCGUGGCACAGGUAUCCUUGGAUGGCCUGGAACUCAUCGCAUUGAACAGCCUGGCUUUGGACUCAUUGGCAGUCACUUUGCCACAGUUUCCAGACUGCUGGGACUCUAGGCAUGUGCCACCAUGUACAGCUCUGUUCUGUAUUUUGAGACAGGGGUUCACUUUCUAACCCAGCUGAGCUGCAGCAAGCCUCCUGCCUGGCGUGGGUUUUCAGGUGGAUAGAACCACAUCCAACUUACUUUCUGAAUCUUAGGAUGUUUUGGCAUUCCCCAAAGCUUGAAGGCUUUGGGGGAGACUUAUGCUUUUAGGGUAGGUCAUUGUUUGGGGCCACAAAAAAAAAAAAAAAACCAAACAAACAAAAAAACCAACCAAAAAACGCUCUCUACCAGGGGCGUAGCUAUCCUGAACAAACCAACCAAUCCUGAGGCUGUGCUCCCAACAACUUCCUGAUUUAAGUCUCACACUCAAACCAGUUUUUCUCUUCCCCUAACUCACCCAGGGCCAGGUGUCAGGCAACCAGAUACCACUCAUGUACCCAAAGUCAUUUAACUGUUCUAGUUUGCCAAUGCUGAACAAUCUGUUGUGCCCAGGUGUGCCUUUUCCUCAGCAACGCCAGCAAAGACUUGACCUCGGACUUUCUCCAUAUUCUACUUUUGUUGUUGUAAGAGCCCGGGUUAUUCUGUACCUUUCCAGGUAGCCUACUGACCUUGAACUUGUGAUUCUCCUGCGCCAGGCUCCUGACACUGAGAGCACUGUGUCUUCUCCCAUUAACUUGUGCUUUACUACUUAGUACGACCUGAGUAUUUCCCCUUGGCCCCACCUAGCCAUGGGCCACUCCCUCUCUGGGUGGGAUCUGUGACUGUAGAACCAUCUUCCUUCCAAGUUUCCUUCUAUCCCUUGCUGGGGUUGUAAGAUCUUUACCAACCCACCUUCAGCUUCUGCAUCCUUCAUAAGGACAGUUGUCUCAGAAAGGGGCUGUGGGCAUAGGAAAUGUGAUAAGCCAAAAUGUCUUAAUUCGCCUUGAGAAAUAGAAACUCAGAGACUAUUGGGUAUUCUCCUCUUUCUGUGGAGAUCCUCUUGGUGGGGGACUGGCAACGUGACUACAAGAGUCAGAGGUCCUGGGACCUCAUGACUUGGUCACUACCUGUCACACCAACACGCCUCCUGGAGACAAAGAUGAGGGGUUGUUAUUAAGAAAGGAUACUAGGGGCCAGAAAGAUGGCUCAGCGGGCAAACCCUGAUGACCCAAGUUCUAUCCCUAAGACCCACAUAUUAGAACAAGUUGACUCCUCCAGGUUGUCCUCUGAUCUCCACAUGUGCACUGAGGCCUGCAUGCCUACAUACCUUCAACACUUAAAGAAAGGUCAUUAGGGCUGAGGAACAAACAUAGUUGGCAGAGUGCUACCCUAAUGUGCAGGACGCUGUGGUUUCCCUCUGCCAAACUACGGAAAGGGUGGCUGGGAGCUCAGUGCUGUACUCCUGCAUGCCAGAAAACUGGGUAGCUGAAUCAGGAGUUACUGCUUUCUCUGGGGGCAUAGUGAAUCCUCUGCCAUUCUGCAUAGCCACAUGAGACGAUGAAAUGCCAUUAAAGGCUCUCUUAGAAUUUCUGCUCAUUUUCAUUCCUUUUAAUCUCUGUGUAUUAUGUAUAAAUGGGGGCAACACAUGACAUGGCGCAUGUGUGUAGGCCACAGGACCUCCCUGGGCAUUAAAUCUUGCCUUUUACCUUUCCCUAGGCAGGGUCUCUUGUUCUCCUUUGCAUAUGCCAGGCUGCCUGCCCUCUUACCUUAGAAGAGCAGGGAAUACUGUUGUACACUAUUCUGCUUGCUGGGACUAGAGGCCUGCAUCACCAUCUGCUGGGUUUGACCCUCAUUAUCUUCUGCUACUUUAUCCAAUCUUGGACUUCCCAUUGACCUGCCUGCCAUGAAUUAACCCUUCUCUGUGUGGGGUCUGUGACCGUAUAACCAUCUCCCUUCCAAGUCGGCUUCAGGUCUUCUUGAGAUUAUGAAGUCUUUUGCCAUUCCACACCAACACCUGCAUCUUCAGCAUACUCUGCAGGUGUGGAGGAAAAGGGCUGUUGGGGAACAGGACAGAUAACAAGCCAGGUAUCUAAUACACCUCAAGAGAUAGAGGGAAGAGACUUGGGACUUCUCUCUGGAGGGAGAUCCUAAUGGUGAAAGGCAGUGAAGGGAAAUGACCCAACAUCUGCAAUCCCAGCUCCUGGGGAGGCGGAGGCAGGAGGAGCAGGUCAUCCUGUGCUACACUGCAAGGCUGAGGUCAGCCAGGGCCACCUGAGUCCCAAUCUCAGGAAAGUUUACAGAAAAAUCAACAAAACAAAGGGGAUGGCAAAGGGGUGCUCAGGAUGGUAUCAGAACCCAGAUCUUCUGGCUGCUGCCCCUCCCCCCAAAAUCAGGCCACGCCCCCAGCAGAGACCAGCUGUGACCUGACAGCUCUCAGAGAGUUUGGUUCUCUUUGUCCCCAUUGCAGCUAGAAGCACAACCCCUCUGAUGCCCAGACAACCUUAACCUGGAGGAAAGUAAUACCCUCUUCCCAUUGUUCUUUGGAUUUGAACUGUCUCUUUUCCCGUCAGGGUUCCUAUCAUGCUGUAGAUGGUGGCUCUUUCCUAUGCUCUCCCAAUUCAAUCCCCAUCAUGGUGGCUUCUGUCCAUGAGCCUGUGGCUUGCCCUUAUAAAGCUCUAAAGGUAAAUCACUUCAGCUUCCUUUCCUGUGAUCUUGUCUUUAUCUGUUAUUUACAGCAGGUAGCUUGUCUCUUAGGAAUUGCUAGAGGCAAUUCAUAGCUCUCUGAAAAAAUACUUUUGGAGCCAGCCAUGGUGGCCUUACCUAUCAUAUUAGCACUUAGGAGUUGGAGCCAGAAGGAUCAAGACUUCAGGGUGAUCCUCAGCUAUAGGCCAGCCUGGGCCACAUGAUCCCUGAAGACAGUCAACAACAAAGGUGGUCUUUGGAGUGGGGGACUGUCAGCCAAGCGACCCUUUCACAGUGACUUGCACUGUCCUCAUCACAAGCCCGCUGUUUUAUCCUUCCUAAGCACUGCAGAGACCCAGCAGCUUUGGAGGACACCGCAGCCAUGGCUAAAGACUAGCACAGACAGCCUGCACUGACCUGGAAAUCAGCACUCCUAAGCAAGAGUUCUAAGUAGACUCUACAUGACCCUCCCUGCAGCUACUUUUAUCCCAGCCAGAAAGGGAGUAAUUGAUUCCAAUAGCUAACCUUCUGAAGACUUGUGAUUGAUGUGACCACAAUCCUUAAUUUGAGUGACACAUUGUGUCAUGAUAUAAUACCGCUGCCAUACACUAUACCCUGGGUAAAUAACUAGGCUGCAAGCUUAAUUUUUUUUAAGUUUUGAGACAAGGUCUUGACUCAAGCUGGUAUGUAAUCAGAUAUCUAGAUAUCUCUGUAUAGUUAUUUAAUCACUUUUAUGUGCAUUGAUGUUUUGCCUGCAUGUAUGACUGUGCAAGGUGUCAGAUCCCCUAGAACUGGAGUUACAGAUAGUUGUGAGAUGCCAUUUGGGUACUGGGUAUUGAGCCCAGGUCCUCUGGAGGAACAUCCAGUACUCUUAACCACUGAGCCUUCUCUCCAGUUCCCGUGGUUGGAUUUUCAACUACUGAUUGUCCUGCUUUAGCCUCUAGACUGAGACUAUGAGUGAAUGCUUUCGGUUGGCUUAUUUGAAACAGUGUUUCACUUUGUAUCCCAGGCUGCCCUGGAACUCACACACAGGAGGGACUUAGAAUGUGUUAUGUAUACUGUCACCCUUGACUUUCUGUAUCUUAGGAUGUUUCUACAUCUUCCAAAGCUUUCAGGUCUGAAUGGUGUCCCUACCCCUGUUAGGGUCACCGAGUCUUGGGAACAGGAACAGAAAGAGCUCUCUACUGGGAGCCUGUCUGUCAACUGUAAACCAGAUCAGAGGAUAUAAUGGAACAACUAAAACUGUGUAUGUAACCUGAAACAGUGGGUUCACGACUUGGUGUAUUCAGGGCUACUUAUGCCCUGCCAGCACAGGAAUGAGGUUUAAUAAAUGUUAAAUACUAGUCUUUUCUAUCAAAUAUAGUAAAAUCUUAUAUCUGCCACCUUUUAAAAGUUUUAUGCAAAUGUUUUAAUCCCUCCAUAACUACGUAAAAACCUUGCUUCCACAGAGUGACUUAAGCGGUAGACCUCUUCCAAUUUCCCCUCAUUUCAUUUGCUCUAAUUCUUUUCGUCAACCAAUCCAAAAAGAUCCUGUGAUGUCAGAUCCCAGCCAAUGGGGAAAAGUCACAGUCACCACCUACCUUAAAAUAAAAGCCAAAUGUACUUCCUGGCCCAUGUGCUUACAUUUCUGAGCACACCCUUUUGAUCAAGAGAGAAGUUUUGCCUUACAGAGAUGCGUUGGCUUUUUGGGGGUUUUUCUUUGUUCAACCCUGAGAAUAUUUUUAAUGAUUUGGGGCUUGCUAGGCUUUCAAAUCCAUAUAGGGGAGCGUUCAGAUACCCUCCCUUUGAAGGGAUGUGUCCCCUGUUACAUUGUGGUGACAGCUGGGUUUGUUGAUUGUUGAUGUUCCUUCAUAGAAAAAGAAAAUAAGAGUGGUCACCCUCUCCUGAGUAGCCAGUCUCUCCUCCCAGCUAGCUAUAUGUAAUUCUGUCCAAAUCUUAUGUUGCCUUGUGAUUUGGUCAGAGGAGCUAGAGAAUAUAGGCCAGGAAGAACUAGGGACAGAGGCUCCACCUGUGCAUCUAUGGCAGCUGAAAGACAUCCUGGGUAAAAAUGCAGGGGGAAUAAACGCUGCUUAGUGGCCCAUGCUCUACAAGGAAAAUCUCACAACAAAUGAUAAAUGUAUUUGUUAAUAUGAUUAUGUCUUAUGGUAUUAAGAAAGGAAACUGGUAAGAAAAAAUAUUAGAAGGAUACAGAAAUGAAAACAUUUUGUUUUAGAAAAGAUUUGUGUGUGAACAAUAAGAUGGCUGGAUGUUUCAAAAUGUAAGAGAAAACUAGAAUGCAUAUUCACAUUAUGAGGAUCUGAGUAAGUUAUUUAAAGUUUAUAAAAGAUGAGACAUAGAGAUGGUAUGUAUGCUAUUCAAGUCAGAGCCCAAUGCAUGGAUAUUAAACCUCUGCUUAAAUGAAUGGAGCUAUCAAUCUGCUCUUGAUAACAAUUACAAGAACUGGUUAAAAUGUUUCUCUGUCAAAGUUUAUUUUGAAGUGUUUGGGUUUUGCCCAAAUUUUAUCUAAAUACUCAACAGGAGUUAAAAGUA